rnacentral:rRNA from 1 species
AACGAACGCUGGCGGCAGGCCUAACACAUGCAAGUCGAGCGCCCCGACAGGGGAGCGGCGGCCGGGUGAGUAACGCGUGGGAACGUACCCUUUGCUACGUAAUCGCCUCGGGAAACUGGGAGAAAUUCCGUAUGUGUCCUUUGGGAGCAAGAUUUAUCGGCAAGGGAUCGGCUCGCGUUGGAUUACGUAGUUGGUGGGGUGAUGGCCUACCAAGCCGACGAUCCAUAGCUGGUUUGAGAGGAUGAUCAGCCACACUGUGAGUGAGACAGGGCCCAGACACCUACGGGAGGGAGCAGUGGGGAAUCGGAGACAAUGGGCGCAAGCCUGGACUAGCCAUGCCGCGUGAGCGAUGAAGGCCUUAGGGUUGUAAAGCUCUUUCAGGGGGGAAGAUAAUGACUGUAACCCCAGAAGAAGGCCCGGCUAACUCCGUG